UCAUCCGUCACAAGUCAAAACAUCCUGUGAGAAAAUCCUUUCAAUAUCAAUAUCGGAAUUUAAUUUGGGAAAGCAGGACAAUUCUACCGCCUGUAGAAUUGUGUUACAGCCACAACUUUUUUUUUAUUUUUCUUUUCUUUUUGGUGCA